UGGGGAAUAUUGCACAAUGGGCGCAAGCCUGAUGCAGCCAUGCCGCGUGUAUGAAGAAGGCCUUCGGGUUGUAAAGUACUUUCAGCGGGGAGGAAGGCGAUAAGGUUAAUAACCUUGUCGAUUGACGUUACCCGCAGAAGAAGCACCGGCUAACUCCGUGCCAGCAGCCGCGGUAAUACGGAGGGUGCAAGCGUUAAUCGGAAUUACUGGGCGUAAAGCGCACGCAGGCGGUCUGUCAAGUCGGAUGUGAAAUCCCCGGGCUCAACCUGGGAACUGCAUUCGAAACUGGCAGGCUAGAGUCUUGUAGAGGGGGGUAGAAUUCCAGGUGUAGCGGUGAAAUGCGUAGAGAUCUGGGGGAAUACCGGUGGCGAAGGCGGCCCCCUGGACAAAGACUGACGCUCAGGUGCGAAAGCGUGGGGAGCAAACA
rnacentral:rRNA from 1 species